rnacentral:rRNA from 1 species
UACGGGGGGAGCAAGCGUUGUUCGGAAUUACUGGGCGUAAAGAGCGUGUAGGCGGCCCGGUAAGUCCGCUGUGAAAGUCGGGGGCUCAACCCUCGAAUGCCGGUGGAUACUGUCGGGCUAGAGUGCGGAAGAGGCGAGUGGAAUUCCUGGUGUAGCGGUGAAAUGCGCAGAUAUCAGGAGGAACACCGAUUGCGAAGGCAGCUCGCUGGGACGUAACUGACGCUGAGACGCGAAAGCGUGGGGAGCAAACAGG